GUAACGGCGAGUGAAGCGGCAACAGCUCAAAUUUGAAAGCUGGCCCUUUUAGGGUCCGCGUUGUAAUUUGUAGAGGAUGAUUCGGCGAGGGCUCCCGCCUAAGUCCCCUGGAACGGGGCGUCAUAGAGGGUGAGAAUCCCGUAUGUGGUGGGCUGCCUUAGCCAUGUGAAUCUCCUUCGACGAGUCGAGUUGUUUGGGAAUGCAGCUCUAAAUGGGAGGUAAAUUUCUUCUAAAGCUAAAUACCGGCCAGAGACCGAUAGCGCACAAGUAGAGUGAUCGAAAGAUGAAAAGCACUUUGGAAAGAGAGUUAAAAAGUACGUGAAAUUGUUGAAAGGGAAGCGCUUGCAACCAGACUUGUCCGCAGUUGCUCAGCCGGUCUCCUGACCGGCGUACUCUUCUGCGGCCGGGCCAGCAUCAGUUCGGGCGGUCGGAUAAAGACCUCGGGAAUGUAGCUCCUCUCGGGGAGUGUUAUAGCCCGGGGUGGAAUGCGGCCAGCCUGGACUGAGGAUCUCGCUUCGGCAAGGAUGCUGGCGUAAUGGUUGUAAGCGGCCCGUCUUGAAACACGGACCAAGGAGUCUAACAUCUAUGCGAGUGUUUGGGUGUCAAACCCAUACGCGUAAUGAAAGUGAACGGAGGUGGGAACCCGCAAGGGUGCACCAUCGGCCGAUCCUGAUGUCUUCGGAUGGAUUUGAGCAAGAGCAUAGCUGUUGGGACCCGAAAGAUGGUGAACUAUGCCUGAAUAGGGUGAAGCCAGAGGAAACUCUGGUGGAGGCUCGCAGCGGUUCUGACGUGCAAAUCGAUCGUCAAAUUUGGGUAUAGGGGCGAAAGACUAAUCGAACCAUUAACAUUGGUAGUUCUUUGUUUUCAAAGAAGGCUGCUAGGUGGUUGAGAGGUAACUAAAAGUGUUUACCUAGUCCCUUCAUCGGGGCGACACUGUCAAAUUGUUCGGGGACGUCCUUAGAGCUUAGACUACCGCGGCCGGCCGAAAGGUCCGGCGCAGCACCAGGGUAAUGACCUCGGGGAUGGUAAUAACGUCUAAGAUUGGGCAAUCCGCAGCCAAGCUCCUAAGUCCGGUAGAACGGAUAUGGAGAAGGUUCACAGACUAGAUGGCAGUGGGUUCGGCCUUUGACGGGCCGGGUCUAAGAUAUAGUCGAUCCCCUACGGAAACGUAGGCGGUGGGGCAAAGCCCGCCAGGCAGAUGAGUGCGUCGGAAGAGGCACGCCUGGAGGGCCCGAACCCUGUCGGGGAGCCGCAGCGCUCC
rnacentral:rRNA from 1 species